rnacentral:rRNA from 1 species
AGAGUUUGAUCCUGGCUCAGAUUGAACGCUGGCGGCAUGCCUUACACAUGCAAGUCGAACGGCAGCGCGGGAGCAAUCCUGGCGGCGAGUGGCGAACGGGUGAGUAAUAUAUCGGAACGUGCCCUAGAGUGGGGGAUAACUAGUCGAAAGAUUAGCUAAUACCGCAUACGAUCUACGGAUGAAAGUGGGGGAUCGCAAGACCUCAUGCUCGUGGAGCGGCCGAUAUCUGAUUAGCUAGUUGGUAGGGUAAAAGCCUACCAAGGCCACGAUCAGUAGCUGGUCUGAGAGGACGACCAGCCACACUGGGACUGAGACACGGCCCAGACUCCUACGGGAGGCAGCAGUGGGGAAUUUUGGACAAUGGGGGAAACCCUGAUCCAGCAAUGCCGCGUGUGUGAAGAAGGCCUUCGGGUUGUAAAGCACUUUUGUCCGGAACGAAACGGGCCGAGCUAAUAUCUUGGCCUAAUGACGGUACCGGAAGAAUAAGCACCGGCUAACUACGUGCCAGCAGCCGCGGUAAUACGUAGGGUGCAAGCGUUAAUCGGAAUUACUGGGCGUAAAGCGUGCGCAGGCGGUUGUGCAAGACAGAUGUGAAAUCCCCGGGCUUAACCUGGGAACUGCAUUUGUGACUGCACGGCUAGAGUGUGUCAGAGGGGGGUAGAAUUCCACGUGUAGCAGUGAAAUGCGUAGAGAUGUGGAGGAAUACCGAUGGCGAAGGCAGCCCCCUGGGAUAACACUGACGCUCAUGCACGAAAGCGUGGGGAGCAAACAGGAUUAGAUACACUGGUAGUCCACGCCCUAAACGAUGUCUACUAGUUGUCGGGUCUUAAUUGACUUGGUAACGCAGCUAACGCGUGAAGUAGACCGCCUGGGGAGUACGGUCGCAAGAUUAAAACUCAAAGGAAUUGACGGGGACCCGCACAAGCGGUGGAUGAUGUGGAUUAAUUCGAUGCAACGCGAAAAACCUUACCUACCCUUGACAUGGUCGGAAUCCUGAAGAGAUUUGGGAGUGCUCGAAAGAGAACCGGCGCACAGGUGCUGCAUGGCUGUCGUCAGCUCGUGUCGUGAGAUGUUGGGUUAAGUCUCGCAACGAGCGCAACCCUUGUCAUUAGUUGCUACGAAAGGGCACUCUAAUGAGACUGCCGGUGACAAACCGGAGGAAGGUGGGGAUGACGUCAAGUCCUCAUGGCCCUUAUGGGUAGGGCUUCACACGUCAUACAAUGGUACAUACAGAGGGCUGCCAACCCGCGAGGGGGAGCUAAUCCCAGAAAGUGUAUCGUAGUCCGGAUUGGAGUCUGCAACUCGACUCCAUGAAGUUGGAAUCGCUAGUAAUCGCGGAUCAGCAUGUCGCGGUGAAUACGUUCCCGGGUCUUGUACACACCGCCCGUCACACCAUGGGAGCGGGUUUUACCAGAAGUGGGUAGCCUAACCGCAAGGAGGGCGCUUACCACGGUAGGAUUCGUGACUGGGGUGAAGUCGUAACAAGGUA